UGGCACGUACUACUACUAGUACCGUGGAACACAGGAACAGCACAGCCGCUCUCGGCUUUCACUCGACGGAUCACGUGCCGUGCGGGCCCCGCGGACCAGCGGCACGGGCCUGCCUGCUUCAUCAAUGCGUGUCCCUUGCCGGCCCGGCCCGGCACCGCACCUCCCACCGCCGGCCCCGUUCCCUGCUACUGCUACUGCUCUCGCUGGCCGUAGUGGACGGAUCGCCCCGUGCAGCUAGCUGUGCAGGUGCAGCCCCGUUCAGCGGCAACACACACACCAAAAAAAAAAUUAAACACCCCCAAAAAAAAGAUUAAACGGCACUGGGCCCACC
rnacentral:lncRNA from 1 species